GCCAGUGUGCCAGAGUGGUAAUGGAACGGUCUCGAAAUUAAUGUUGAUGUGGUUAGUAAUCAAAAUCAAGAAAACCGUGCCUUAAUCGGCUCCUAGGUUCGAAUCCUAGCGCUGGCG
rnacentral:tRNA from 1 species